rnacentral:lncRNA from 1 species
GUCUUUUGAAAGAUACAUAGAAGAUUAAAAAAAGGAACAAAAGCAUGAAAAAGCUGAAUGCAAAUAGGAAAACCGAGAACAAAACAAUACCUGGUUUAGGGAACCUUCUAGAAGGUUCCCAAAACCAGUUCAUUUUUAUUCUUAGAUACGCCGUGUAAGCGAACGGGCGGCCCAUUGCGACGCUUUGGCUGGUCGACUGUGCCAAACGCCAUCAGUUUGACGCAAGAAGCGUCAUAUAGGAUAUUCCCAAUUACCCAAGCGCUAAGGGCAUGUUUGUUAGAUGAAUUUCACCCAGCCAAGCUAUGGCCUGCACAAAAAUGUUGGCCUACGUAAACCUCAAAUCAGACAUGGGCCUCGUUGAGAAGAAACACUUGAAUUGACUGUUUUUUAUAGGCAAGAGCAAGAGAGCAAGCAAGCAAGAUGAUGCACACGUGGUGUGACAAUACAUGCAUUCUAUUCUCACCUCCUACAUUCUAAUCUCACCUCCCUUAAUCUUCUUCACCAAACCCUUUCUAAUCUUCACAAUGGCAUUGCCAUUGUAAUUUCAUGCAGGCAACUGUUCCUAGUAAUUUUGUAAUGUCUCCAUUUUUU